AUCUAGAGAACAUAGUUUUGAUGAAAAAGAUUUUUUUUUUUAUGAAUCGAAAGAUCAGGAGAAUUGAAUCGAAGAGAUGGACAAGAUCAGAGUUUGAACACGGACGGGGAUACAGACUCGUGGUUUGAAGUAAACAAAGAACCGAUAUUUCCUCGGCAGAAUUGAUGAUGGCAAACUGCGAGAUUUCGCAUCUUUCGAUGAAGUCAUAUCCUGCGUCAGAAAUCGCUGGAGUGGUGUAAGUGCGAUGAGCACAGAUGUUCAGUGUCAAGAGAAAGUGUUCGUCUUCAAUGAAGUGGCAAGAAAGAACCAAAACUGCUGGGGACUUGGGUUCGCAUAUAACUACAAGGCAGGCUGGCACAGAUCUUUUCGCUGGCAACUCUGCAUCAACUUCUUGCAUCUAUGGAAACAUAAGACUAGUGAAACUACUAAACAUGCAGCAAAACCAACAAUAAAUGCAACAUGUUAAAUCUG